AUAAAAAAAUCCCUACAACUACUCAUUGUAGGGCCCUUCAAUAAAGGGGUGUAAUCACCUCUGCGAUUACAAGCACCUUGAUGAAGGCAAAGGGAGAGGAGAAACCGGAGGAAGAACUUAUGGGGAAACGUAAGUCUUCUCCGCGG
rnacentral:ncRNA from 1 species